rnacentral:rRNA from 1 species
CCUACGGGUGGCAGCAGUGAGGAAUAUUGGUCAAUGGGCGCGAGCCUGAACCAGCCAAGUCGCGUGAGGGAAGACGGUCCUAUGGAUUGUAAACCUCUUUUGUCGGGGAGCAAAAGACGCCACGCGUGGCGUUCCGAGAGUACCCGAAGAAAAAGCAUCGGCUAACUCCGUGCCAGCAGCCGCGGUAAUACGGAGGAUGCGAGCGUUAUCCGGAUUUAUUGGGUGUAAAGGGCGUGCAGCCGGGCUGACAAGUCAGAUGUGAAAUCCCGUGGCUCAACCACGGAACUGCAUUUGAAACUGUCGGUCUUGAGUAUCGGAGAGGCAGGCGGAAUUCCUAGUGUAGCGGUGAAAUGCGUAGAUAUUAGGAGGAACACCAGUGGCGAAGGCGGCCUGCUGGACGACAACUGACGGUGAGGCGCGAAAGCGUGGGGAGCAAACAGGAUUAGAUACCCGGGUAGUC